AACGUAGGAGACAAACGUUAUCCGGAGUUACUGGGCGUAAAGGGCGUGUAGGUGGUUUCGUAAGUCUGGCGUGAAAUCCCUCGGCUUAACCGGGGAACUGCGUCUGAUACUGGAUGGCUUGAGUUCGGGAGAGGGAUGUGGAAUUCCAGGUGUAGCGGUGAAAUGCGUAGAUAUCUGGAGGAACACCGGUGGCGAAGGCGGCAUCCUGGACCGACACUGACGCUGAUGAGCGAAAGCCAGGGGAGCAAACGGG
rnacentral:rRNA from 1 species